rfam:Mustela putorius furo unplaced genomic scaffold scaffold00192, whole genome shotgun sequence.
GCCUGGCUGGCUCAGUCAGUAGAGCAUGUGACUUUUGAUCUUGAGUUCAUGAGUUCAAGCCCCAGGCUGGGCA